rfam:Eucalyptus grandis cultivar BRASTZ1 unplaced genomic scaffold scaffold_3, whole genome shotgun sequence.
AAUCCAUGAUGUGGGAAUCUCUUGAGAAACUCCUUAAAUCUUUUCCAUACUUCGUACAAUGAUUCAUUAUCCCUCUACAUAAAAUUAGUAUGCCUUUUUGCAGACU